GGCCUGGUGGUCUAGUAGUAUGAUUCCUUGUUAGGGUGGCAAAUAUCGAGGAGGUCCCGGGUUCAAUUCCCGGCCAGGCCC